GGGCUUGUACUGGUUUCGACGGGGGUUUUGAAGUUUAGGAAGCCAUCCGCGGCUCUGGGACCGCGUACCAACCUGGAAAUUAAAUUUAAACGCAGAUAACGAAGAGUUAGCGUACGCUGCCUAAUGGCAGUUGUCGGGUAACAGGUUCCCGCGCCUGAUAUUCCGGCAUCAAAUGAUGCGGGGCACUUUUUCUUUUAAGCUUUGCGAAGAAAAAAGAACUUAUGAAGCUACUGAAGUCAGAAGCCUGUCAUCCGGCGUCUGAUAGAGGGAAUGUCAAAAGAAUGACUGUGAUGGGAGAUGCCUGAAUGGAUAGGCUUUCGGACGCGGGUUCGAUUCCCGCCAGGUCCAU
rnacentral:sRNA from 1 species